rnacentral:rRNA from 1 species
GACGAACGCUGGCGGCGUGCCUAAUACAUGCAAGUCGAACGCAGUGGGGACGGGUGAGUAACACGUGGGUAACCUCCCAUCAGAGGGGAUAACACUUGGAAACAGGUGCUAAACCGAUAUUGGUGGAUGGACCCGCGGUGCAUUAGCUAGUUGGUGGGGUAACGGCUCACCAAGGCCACGAGGCAUAGCUGACCUGAGAGGGUGAUCGGCCACACUGGGACUGAGACCCGGCCCAGACUCCUACGGGAGGCAGCAGUGGGGAAUAUUCGGCAAUGGACGAAAGCCUGACCGAGCAAGGCCGCGUGAGUGAAGAAGGUUUUCGGGUCGUAAAACUCUGUUGUUAGAGAAGCGGUAUCUAACCAGAAAGCCACGGCUAACUACGUGCCAGCAGCCGCGGUAAUUC